UGGGAACGCGAAGAACCUUACCAGGCCUUGACAUGCAGAGAACUUUCCAGAGAUGGAUUGGUGCCUUCGGGAACUCUGGCACAGGUGCUGCAUGGCUGUCGUCAGCUCGUGUCGUGAGGUGUUGGGUUAAGUCCCGUAACGAGCGCAACCCUUGUCCUUAGUUACCAGCACGUUAAGGUGGGCACUCUAAGGAGACUGCCGGUGACAAACCGGAGGAAGGUGGGGAUGACGUCAAGUCAUCAUGGCCCUUACGGCCUGGGCUACACACGUGCUACAAUGGUCGGUACAAAGGGUUGCCAAGCCGCGAGGUGGAGCUAAUCCCAUAAAACCGAUCGUAGUCCGGAUCGCAGUCUGCAACUCGACUGCGUGAAGUCGGAAUCGCUAGUAAUCGUGAAUCAGAAUGUCACGGUGAAUACGUUCCCGGGUCUUGUACACACCGAAUCUAGAUGCAUCGCGAGUUAGCCCG
rnacentral:rRNA from 1 species